AGGGGCAGGAUCACGCCGUCGCCGGUGUCGAACACCUGGUGGGCGCCGGCUGCGCCGCCGCCACAGGCUUCUCGGCCAGUUGGGUGGCGGGGUGUUGAGGAGGUGUGCCCGUUGCCGUUGCUGCUAUUGGAGGGAGCCGGGAGCCGUUACGCGAGGGAGGUCGAGCGUCGAACACCUGCGCCCGUCGCCGACCGCCGUCCGUCCCUAUUUCGACCGCGCCGCGCCACUCGCCGUCGAACUUCGCCGUUCCGCCACUUCGUGGCUAGAUUUUGCUUAUAUAUACUCCAUGUGGACCCUAGAUGGUUGAAUCGUAGCCGGUUGCGCUCACAUUGGUCCUCAUCGUGCCGCCGCCGAGUUUGGGAUCUCGGCGCCGACGCGCGCCGUCGUGCCGCGCGCCGAACGGUCGCCGCGCUUCGCCGCCGCCACCGGCGGGCAUCCGGUGAUGCGCCGCCGCUCGCCUCGCCGUGCGCCGAGCUGUUCCGGCUCGGGCCGUCGCGCCGCCGCGCACUGCUCCUCUGUUCGGCCGCGCGCGCGAGGUUGAAGACGACGGGAGAGAGAGAAGACACGAGAGAGGGAGGGGUUAUGACAUGUGGACCCCAUUUCAUUAGCGCACAGUAA
rnacentral:lncRNA from 1 species